rnacentral:rRNA from 1 species
GGCGGACGGGUGAGUAACGCGUGAGGAACCUGCCUUUCAGUGGGGGACAACAGUUGGAAACGACUGCUAAUACCGCAUAAUGUAUUCUGACCGCAUGAUCGGAAUACCAAAGAUUUAUUGCUGAAAGAUGGCCUCGCGUCUGAUUAGAUAGUUGGCGGGGUAACGGCCCACCAAGCCUUCGAUGGAUAGGGGUUCUGAGAGGAAGGUCCCCCACAUUGGAACUGAGACACGGUCCAAACUCCUACGGGAGGCAGCAGUGAGGAAUAUUGGUCAAUGGACGAGAGUCUGAACCAGCCAAGUAGCGUGAAGGAUGACUGCCCUAUGGGUUGUAAACUUCUUUUAUACGGGAAUAAAGUGAGGCACGUGUGCCUUUUUGUAUGUACCGUAUGAAUAAGGAUCGGCUAACUCCGUGCCAGCAGCCGCGGUAAUACGGAGGAUCCGAGCGUUAUCCGGAUUUAUUGGGUUUAAAGGGAGCGUAGGCGGACGCUUAAGUCAGUUGUGAAAGUUUGCGGCUCAACCGUAAAAUUGCAGUUGAUACUGGGUGUCUUGAGUACAGUAGAGGCAGGCGGAAUUCGUGGUGUAGCGGUGAAAUGCUUAGAUAUCACGAAGAACUCCGAUUGCGAAGGCAGCUUGCUGGACUGUAACUGACGCUGAUGCUCGAAAGUGUGGGUAUCAAACAGGAUUAGAUACCCUGGUAGUCCACACAGUAAACGAUGAAUACUCGCUGUUUGCGAUAUACAGUAAGCGGCCAAGCGAAAGCGUUAAGUAUUCCACCUGGGGAGUACGCCGGCAACGGUGAAACUCAAAGGAAUUGACGGGGGCCCGCACAAGCGGAGGAACAUGUGGUUUAAUUCGAUGCAACGCGAAGAACCUUACCCAGGCUUGACAUCUAGGGAACCCUUCGGAAAUGAAGGGGUGCCCUUCGGGGAGCCCUAAGACAGGUGCUGCAUGGCUGUCGUCAGCUCGUGCCGUGAGGUGUUGGGUUAAGUCCCGCAACGAGCGCAACCCCUAUCUUCAGUUGCCAGCAGGUAAGGCUGGGCACUCUGGAGAGACCGCCCCGGUCAACGGGGAGGAAGGUGGGGACGACGUCAAGUCAUCAUGGCCCUUACGCCUGGGGCUACGCACGUACUACAAUGGCGCGCACAAAGGGUAGCGAGACCGCGAGGUGGAGCCAAUCCCAAAAAACGCGUCCCAGUCCGGAUUGGAGUCUGCAACUCGACUCCAUGAAGUCGGAAUCGCUAGUAAUUCGAGAUCAGCAUGCUCGGGUGAAUGCGUUCCCGGGCCUUGCACACACCGCCCGUCAAG